rnacentral:lncRNA from 1 species
UAGAGAUUCAUCAUUGCUCUGAUCUCAUGUGGAAGACUUCAACUGUCAAGUCCAUUCACCCCUCAACCCCAAAUUUUGUAAUGUGAGGUAACCCCCAGGUGAUGCGUGUGUGCAUGUCAAAACUAAUUUGGAGUCACUCCAAGUGCAUACUGGAGAAACUGACAGGAGACUUUGACCCUGUAUCUCUCCAAGAAAUAAUUUCCUAGAUGGAUACAAGUCCUGGUACCAAGACUCUUCAAAGCACUGGAGAUUUUC